CGAACCCGGACCCGAACUAGAAGGGUUUUAAUAAUCCAUAGCGUUGGAUGAAAAUCUAAUGGAUAAAAAUUAUUAAAUAUUUUAUCUAUUAUAUAAAUAAAUUCGGGUUCAGGUUCGAGUUGGAUAAAUAUAAAAUCCAUAUCCGUAUCCAUAUUUGUCGGAUUUUUAUUUUCUAUACCCAUAAUCAAAUCCAUAUCCGUUUAACUCGAGUAAACCCAUCCCGUUCGGAUUCAGGUUCAGAUAAUAUUUUGGGUAUCCGUACCCAUUGACAUCCCUAGUUAGGAUAAAAAAAAAAACUUCAAAUACCAUCCCUGUGGUUUUGUACUUUCUCACUUUAGUAUCCGGUGAUUUAAAGUGUAUCACUUUCGUACCCUAUGAUUUUAUUUUUCUCUUUUUGUUAUCCCUUUUAUUAAUUUUUUUCGUUAAAUCAGUGACAAUGUUAAAACUAAAAGGUAAACUAUAUGUGAGGUAUCUGAAGUUUUUGUAUAUGAUUUAAUGAAAAGUUAAUGAAAGAAUCGACAAAAAGAGAAAAAGAAAAUUAUAGCGUACUAAAUUGAUACACUUUAAACCAAAAGGUACUAAAGUGGGAACAUACGAAAUCAUAGGAAUAGUAUUUGAAAUUUAUCCUAGGAUAAACUCGAUCCAAUCCGGAGUCCAAUAGGAUGCCUACAUUAAUAUUAAAAUUUAAUAUUCGACGUAUAUUCGUAUUCGAAUUCGCAUUCGAAAAAAUAUAUACAUAUGUGAUGCGAAUAUGAUUUUUUUUAAAAUUUGACUGUAUUUAAUUGUUUUGACAUUUAAGAAAUAAGAGGAAUGUUCUUAAAUAUUGUAGAAUGAAUAAAGUGACUUUUUAUCGGGGUUUUUUUAAUUUAUUUUACUAUAAAUUUUAUGUUAAAAUUAUAUUUAGUUUCGACCAUAUAUCCAUAUCCGAACGUCGGAAGAAAAAUAUAGGAAAAACUUCAAAAACCCCCCUUGUGGUUUCAAUUUUUUUCACUUUAGUACCAUGUGGUUUAAAAUGUAUCAAAUUAGUACCCUGUGGUUUCUCACUUUAUCACUUUAGUACCCUGUAGUUUAAAGUGUAUCAAGUUAGUACCCUGUGGUUUUGUACUUUAUCACUUUAGUACCCUGUGGUUUUAAUUUGUAUCAAGUUAGUACCCUGUGGUUUUUUAAAUCACAGGGUACUAAAGUGAUAAAGUGUGAAACCACAGGGUACUAAAGUGAUAAAGUGCAAAACCACAGGGUACUAACUUGAUACACUUUAAACCACAGGGUACUAAAGUAAUAAAGUAAGAAACCACAGAGUACUAACUUGAUAAACUUUAAACCACAGGGUACUAAAAUGAAAAAGUGUGAAACCACAGGGAAGAUUUUUGAAGUUUUCCCAAAAAUAUACAUGCAUGAUUUUGUUAAAAAUCCGACCAUUUUCACCCCUUAUUGUUAAGGCUUUGUUUGCCUGUUUGUGAUUAUACGGUGAUUGCAUUAUUUAUAACGAAAUAAUAUAAUAUAAAAAAUAUUAUAUUACUUUAUAUUUUUAAUUAAAUUCAUUUAUAUUUAUUACACUAUAUAAUUAUAUUGUAUUAAAUAAACAGAGUUCGGUUACUAGACUUUUAUGAGUAUAGGUCUUUUUGUACUUAUAAUUUUCGAUCAUUAGAUCUAUUCCUUUAAUCAUUUCCAUCCGUUAGAUCAUACUGUUUAACCAACCACUCACUCAACCCUAGGGAAUUACUAUCUACUUAACCAGAGACUACUAUUAUCCUAACCGCACAUCCCUUCAUCAAAUGGCUGAAAACAAAUGAUAUCGUUUGGUUCGGAAAUAAGCUAUUUUAGAUUAUUCAUGGGAUAUGCACAACUCUUGGGAUAAGCGGAAAUAAAAUUAAUUUUGCGUUUGGAUGAAAACUAGAUUUUUCUCGAGAAUAAGAAAAAUAACAUUUGGAUAGUUAUACUGAAAUAGUAAGGAUAAGAAUAAUUAGAGUUGAGCACAGAAGACCUACUCUAUAAAAUAGUUAAACAUUUUAGUGGACACAUAAAAUCCUAAUCUUCCUCUAGAGCUUCUUUUUGCAUUUGGCCCUUUAAAAAAGUUUUUUGCACAUAUAGCCUUAUCAAAUUUAUAAUUAUAAUUUUGAUCCUAUUCCCGCGACGUAGGCACCGUGUCAGCGUCAGGCAAGCUGGCUAAAGAGGAGUAUUAAGUUGAACAUUGUAAGACAAUAGACACGGCGAACCAUUCACCGUGUUUAGACACGGUGAAUGAAUUACCGUGUUUAACUUAUUCCAGCGUCUCCAUCUUUGCUCGCGUGGCGCUUACAUGGCGCCUGCGUGGUGGGGACAGGGCAAAAUUAUAAUUAUAAAUUUGGUGGAGUUUUUUGUGAAAAUAAUUUUUUUAGGAGGCUAAAUGCAAAAAAAAAAAAAAAAAACUCUUCCUCUCACAACCGGUAACCUUACCUCCCUCCCCACGAAGAAGCCCCGCUUGGAUCCAAGUAUCCAACACCCCCCAACAACCACUGUACCCUCUCUCUCUUUUUCUCUCUACUACUCAAAAACAAACACGAAAACAACGAGGAACUCAUACACGACGACGGUAACCCCACCACCUCUCACCUCCUCUCCUCCUCCGCCUCGAUCUCGGUCCUACGCUCUUCGACUCGUCGCGAGCACUGAGAUCGAUCGAAGCUCGAAGCGCGCUCUGAUCCGAUCUAAGAUCCGUGGAAGAUUCUUUCUCGGUUCUCCCUCAGAUCUCUAUGCUUUUUCAUAGAUUUCUACUUCGUUUUUGAUUUGAAUCCGCGCUGUUUCUUCACUGAUCCGUGCGAUUUUAUGAUCAGUUUGGUGGAACUCGUACCCUAAUUAUGCGCGAUCGGUUGUUAAUUUUGUUUAGCAAUGGAAUAUUUCGUUUCGACGGCCGUAAAAUGAGAUCUAUGACAUUCUAGCGUACAAAUUAUGUAAUUCGGAUGCGUUUAGAUGAUGGUUUUCCCCCCCCGCGGAGUAGAUCUUAGUGUGCGCACUAAAAUGUGGAAAUUUGUGGAAUUUUGAUAGUUCUAAUUUUUACACUAUGAAAUUUCUAAACUAUACGCUUUAGAUGAUGUCGAGCUUUUUGACUUUGCAGAUCGAAUCUUCGCUUGAGUGAUAUAGUGCUGAGAAUUUAUCAAUGAUCGUAACUUUGGAGCAAAUUGGAGAUGAAAAUGGCCCUAGAUGGUGAAUUCUUUUGGAUGAGAAGGUGAUUGGAUGGGCAUUACGUGUUCGAGGAAAUGUCACUGAAACUUUCUCAGAGCUUCGCCUUCUUUAGAAGCUUGGGAUUGUUUGAUGACAAGAAGGAGACCUCGGGGGCCAAGCAGGAAGCAUCUCCGACUUUGAAGGUUCAGACGGAUAAGGAGAUAUAUAGGCCUGGUGAUUCGGUCACUGCUACUAUAGAGAUUUGCAGCCCGAGAAGUUCUAAGGAGGAUACUGAGAAGGAGGACUUUAGUUCGCUCUUGAUCGAUAACGUCAGUUUUGAAGUUAAAGGUAUCGAGAAGUUGGAUACGCAAUGGUUCUCCACUCAGAAACCAUUGCCGGGAUCGAAGCAAAGGAGAGGUGUAUUUUUUCUCCCUCCUAAUGUAUUAGAUGGAAGUCAGCAUAACUAAAAUCUUUCUAGUAAGAAAUUUGAAAAAGAUUUGUAAGAUUUCUGUUUUGCCAUAUCCUUUCUGUUUUGUUGAACUGGAACUCUGCAAGUUAAAAUUGAAUCUUUGAAACUUAAACACCUCCAUCAUUUCCUAUCUGAAUGUUAUUGCUAAAAUAAACUCUUUGAAUCUGACUCGGUAUUUAUUUUUAUUUCGCAAGUGCGGUCGACUAAACAAUUAUUUAUGGCAGAAUUCACCUAGUCAGCACUUAAUUUCUAAUUACUGCAAAUUUUUACCAUAGUGAUUUUCGUAGAGACUUGAAAAAGUAAAAAAAGAACAUUUGUAGUUCCUCUUGACGAAAGGCCACUUGCUUGAUCAAUUUUAUGAAGUUUCAUGCUUAUUAUCUUCUGUAAUGAUAUUUGAAGUGCAGGUGAACGAUUGUUUCUAGAUUGUACAGCACCUUCGAUAGUUUCAAAAGUGAUAGUUACUUCUGGACAUACCAAAACAUGUAAGUCAUCUCUCUUAAGUUAAAUACAUUAUUAGGUCGUGACUUCAGAUAUACCGUAGGAAUUUCUUCAAUUCAGACAUAACGUUUUUAUGCCUAUUUUGUAUCUGUGCAUUUUUGAAGUACUUUCAAUUUUUCUCCAAGUAUCCAGAAGUAACUGAUAUUUUAGUUUGGUCUGACCUGACAAUGUAGCAAUCUAUCUAGAAUUUUUAAGCCACUUGUUCUGUUAGGCAUUAUUACUGGAGUUGCUAGUUAACUCCUUCCAUAUCAUUUAGUUUUACUCAAGUAAGCUUUCUUAUUUGCUUUAUUUAACACUCACCCUUGCUUAAGAUGUUGCCACAUUAGGAUCUUUAUUUAUACCUAACUUCUCAUUUUAUUGUGAAAGAUAAAACUUUAUGUUGCUGCUGUCUGCAGUUGCUAACCUUUCUUAGAUGAUUAUUAUGCUGGUUAUACCUUUUUGACUGAAAACAUUGCCUGAAUUAUUGUUAUCUUGUUAUGUUGGUUGUGUGGAGCAUAAAAAUAUAUUGACAAGUCUGAUCUGAAGAGUCUUUUGCAUUUAUCUUUGGUUUUGACACAUACAAAAGCAGCGAAAGAAAGUUGAAAGUAAGUUUUACAUUAGUCAACCGCAAAAAGGAACCAAGGAUUAACAAGAGAGGAAAGGGCAUUGCAUUUUGCCUACUUUUAUAUCUAUAUUUGGCUCUUUUCUUCGUUUUGUCUACUUUCUGCUCUCCUGUCUAAUGUCUGACUCUGAUGAUUGUGCCAGUUCUUGGCAAAGAUUAAUGGUUUAUCUGAUAAUUAAAUUACGAAUUAAUUCUACUUUACUAUGAAUAUAUCUUAUUUGAUGGCUUAAAUAUGCAUUAGUUUCAGUGGAGAGUAUUCCUUAGCACUAUCUUCUGUUGUUCAUUUAUGCUACUUAGGCACAAAUAUGUUCUUCUUUUGGAUUGGCAGGUCCAAAUCAUUCUUCAUUGUGCUAAAUUGCAAUUAACGGACUGAUCACUCUAUAAAUCUAUGCAGAUAUAGUACGAGUCGAGCUUCCAAAUAUUUUGCCACCAUCAUACAGGGGCAUCAGCAUUCGCUAUAUUUACUAUGUUAGAAGUACAUUAUAUGCAAGGUGGCUUGUUCUGGAUAAUCCAAAUCACGAUAGAGGAUCCACAAAUAAUUUGAUUCAACUGGUUAGUCCCCAAUUUAAGAUCUUGCUGCGUUCUUUCUAAUAAAAUUUCAUUUUCUAAAUUAGGAUUCAUGUUUUUACUUGUCAAACAACCUUUCUGUCUGUAACCUCUCCUAUUUUUAUUGCAUAUUUUAGAAAUCAUGCAGUUCGAGUUUGUAUUGCACUUUAUGUAUUUUCUUAGCUUCAUUUUCCUUUGGUUGGUGCGAGUUUCUUGUAGAUCAUUAUUCCUAGGAUUAAUUAAUUAUGGCAUGACCCGCCAUUUAAGGUUGAACGUAUGAAACAUUAUGAUUUUCCUUUAUGUAGAUCAGUUUGGCCUUUUAGUAUCGGUCUUUUAAGUUCUUUUGCACAGGUUCCGUCCUCUUUUAAGUUCAUACUGGUAGUAUCUAUUUUUCAAACAUUAUUGACCGUAUUACUGCAAAGUUUACUAAGAAGUCUUCAAUUGCUGAAUAGUGCAUUUCUUGCAGUACCCCAAAAGAAUUCCUAGCAUCGCUACUUAAUUUACUAUUUUUCUACUCUUUUUCACCAUUUUAUUUUUUAUGGAGUUACUAAAAGUCCUAUACAAAAUACUUUCAAAUUACCAUUAGUAAGAACUAGUAAAGUAUGAAGAAUUUUAUUCAAACUGUAUCCUAAAUCUUGUUCGACCAUCAUAUAUGUUAGUUGGUUCUCCUUCACAUUCCUGACGUGAGCUUAUUGGGGCAAAUGGUAACUAUCCUUUCACAAAAAGUUGAGUGGCAUGAAAAUUUUUUUAUUUUCAUGUUUUUAACUUUCUUCCCCAGAAUAGAAUCUUACCAUUGGGUAUGAUACAUAUGAAUCAAGGACAUCCUGCAUGAUGUCUGUUUUUGGCACUGAAUUCUGUUUUUGGCACUGAAUUCUUAGAACUUAAGGUGAUGUGAGAAUGACGCAACCAUUUUAUUCUAGUACUUCAAAAGUCAACUAUUCAUGGAUCAUUUGCAUGAUUAGUUGCUUUGAUUAGGGAAUUAUUUACUAUAUAUGAUCUUUCAGUGUCAAGGUUUAUGUAUGCCUGUGCGUCCACAUUUGAUAUUAAAUCUUUGUACAGAAACAUCUUUGUUUGUCAUAACUAUAAAUUUUAUGAACUAUGACUGAUGGUUUGAUGGAAACAUUCCCUUAAGGUCUAGGCAUUUGAUACAGAAACAUCUUUGUUUGUCAUAACCAUAAAUUUUAUGAACUAUGACUGAUUGGUUUGAUGGAAACAUUCCCUUAAGGUCUAUGGAUUUGAUAGUGACAAUCUUCAACUAAGCACUUUGAAUUAUUGAUUGCAAGGUAGGCCUUCAAUUUUUAGUGGCUUCUUCAGUAUCUGACCUCAUUUUAAUCCACGAUAGAUUGUUAUACUGUCGCUAAAUUUGAUAUGUUUGUAUCGUUCUCUAUCGUCAUUCUCAUUGCUGAACUUUCAUUUGUAGGAAGCUCGGGCUCCAUUGCAAAUCUGGGUUUCUCAGAAGAGCAGCAAUCUGCUUAAUGAAGAAGGUUAGAUCUAUAAUAUUGUCUUGUUUUGGAUGCUUGCAUAGGAAUAUUAUAUGUCGCUAUAUUCUUUGUUAACCUGCCUUUGCAGGUCCCAAUUGCUAAAACAGUUCAUGUGGUCAUGUAUAAGUGUUGCAAUGCUAUAAACUUUAACAGCUUGAUUCUACUAUCAAAAUUUUCUUUUAAUUAUUUGCUUGAUUUAUACACUUGAUGAUAUUUGAAAAUAUUUGAAUAAAUUCUUUUGGUGUGUAUACCAGGGAAGUUACUGAUUUCUGAUGAUCAACUGAAUAUUUUUUGGAAAGAGAAAGAUGACGACUCUGAAUGGGUGAGAAAUUGCUGGAACAUGUUCAAUUUUGCUUCGACAACUUUUCUGUUUCUGUAUUUGUCUUUUGAUUCAAAAAGUUUUCUUGCAUGUAGGGUUAAUGCACAGUGCAAACUUAGGCUAUAGAGUGACUCGUGUGUUCUGAAAAAUUAUAAUGCUAAAUUUUCUCAAAAAAGUGAUAAGCUCCGUACUCAUGGCCGUGAAAUAGCCUUUUUCAUUAUCUCAUUUCCCUCUCACUUCCUACUCUCUUGUAAGCAGAUCCUGCUCCUUAAGAAUAAACUCGAAGUUCGAAUUCCUUUUAUUUCAAAACCAAAUAAACUGCUUCAGGCGUUCAUCACAUUAUUUUUGGGUUUGCUAGGAUAUGAUCAAUAUUUCAGUAUUCUUUUUCAAAUGGGCUGUGAAUUUUUAAGAAAUCUAAUAUAUUUGUGAAUAUCUCAGAACUUUUAUUGUCAGAUUUUAGUAUACAAAAAUGAAUUUUACAUUUUUGACCUUUUAAUUCUGGUUUGAUUUCUCAUUGUGCUUAUUUACUGGGUGAUUCUGAUAUAAUGGGUGUAUGUGAUAUGGUAAGUAUCUUAUUUAAUCAAUUCUAACUGUAUAUCUUGUAGAGAUAAAGAGACAAUGUAGGUUUCAAAUUUGGUUAAUCUUAUUUUUAGAACAACGGUCAUGUAUAGGAGUAAUAUGCUGAGAACUUCUUUAGUCGAAACCACUACUUGCAGAGUCAGUACCACCGUUGGCAAAUUGAAUCAUCUCGAAAUGCAUAGCUUAACAAUCCCAUGCUAUGAAAUUCAUACAGGCAGGAACUUUUAAUUAUUCAGCAGCAGUUAAUUUCAGUUUUGUGACUCCUCAUAGUAGUGAAUUGUCCUUUUCUUGUCAGGCUAGAGCAAAUGAGAAUGUGGAUGGCUUCGAAGAAGGAUAUGAUAGCUCAAGAGAUGAAGUCUCGUCUGUUUCCUCGUACAACCCUGCCAAAGCAAAUGUUGACUUUGUUCACAGGAAUUCCUUAUCUAUGCAAUCAAUGUCGACACGACUUUCCACCAGUGAGCUAUACAAUUCUCAUGGAGAGCACUCUGGUUUUCCAUCUUAUGCUGCCCUUCCUCGACUUUCUAUAUCGGAGGUCAUAGAUGAUCCUGGUGGAGGUAUGGUGUCCAUUCAAACCUGCCAAUAUACUGCGCUUUACUUGCAAGUUUAUCUCCUAGUUUCAUCUCUGAAAUGUGAUUAUGGUUUCAAUUCAUCCUAAGGGUCUAAGUUGUAACAGUAUAGAUGAUCUAACUGCAGGAAUUAAAUGUGAAAUCCUAAGUUUGACAUGGCGGCUUUUCAGAUGAUUGACUAGGCAGCGUUUGGUUGGGAAAAAUGGUGGGGAUAGUGGUAGAUCUCCCCAGUAUACUCCCAAACACUGAGAUAUCAAUUAAAAAAUGGUGGGCAUAGUGGUAGAUCUCCCCUGUAUCCUCCCAAACACAGAUAUCAAUUAUCGUUACUUGGAAUUAGGUGGGAAAAAUAUCCCCAUACCUAGUUUAUCUGAGCGAAUAUUAGUUCCAUGGGUUAUAGUAUAAACAUGCUAUCCCUCGUGUCUAGGGCCUUUUCCCACCUAAUCCCCACUAUUGCAACCAAAACAAUGGGGAUAACUUAAACUAAAUUCCUUGUAAGGGAUAUUUUUCACUAUACCCAUGACAGAAAUUGCCAAGCCGAAAAUUACCUAAAGGAAGGAGUUAAUUGUCACAUAUAACGAACUUCAGGGAUUACAUUCUAUGAAUGAAGAUUCAGAGAUAAGAUGGAAAUUCAGGUCAAAACUUUGGGGAUUUGGUCUGUAAUUGGCCCUUCCUUUUUUUGGUGCACAGCAGCAGAGGUAGGGCUCUGUUCAUGUGGAAUAUAGAGAAAAAACAGAUUCUGAUACACAUUUUAAGCUGUAUCGUUCCUAGCUUGUUCUCUCUCUCUCUCUCUCUCUCUCUCUCUCCUGUUUAUAAGUUAUCUGUUUAGAAAUUUGCUAUAUAUCUCUCAAUCGAGCCACUAUACAUUAUCUAUCUUAUUGAUGCUUCAUCUAAUGAACAGCUAUACAAUCUCCUCAAAUGAAGCUAAAUCAUUCUUCGUCUACUGUGUCGCCGGUGGAAAGAAAUUCUACAAAUUCUUAUUUCCUUAAAGAUGAAGUCGGAUCCCCAUUCACACCCAAACAUGUUGAACCUACUGCAUGUAAGUCAUUAUGUUCUAUUAUGGGAUUUUGUUCUUCAAACUUUAGAGGGAUCUUUUCUCAAUUUAGCUGAAGAGCUUCAGUAAAACUAAGUUGCAGUGAACAUUCUCUGCAGCAGAAGGCUUCAUUCGAGGAAGAUCCUACAAUAUCAGAAUAGGCGACCAAGUUUUGCUUCGCUUUUCACCAAGAAACUCUGAUUCAACUUAUUACUUUGGUGAUAUGGUAAGUUUAUUAAAGAGUUAGUUACAAAUUUUGGUGUGAAGUUUGACCUGGAUUUCAAUUGUUUUUCAUAAAGCUUCAAUUUUGACAAUUCAGUCCGUGAAAUUUGGCUUCUGUUGCCAAACUUGGUACUUAGGGUUUCAAUCUUAAUAAUUUAAGCUCUGAUUUAUGAACUCAAUUUCAAAUUCACGGGAGUUUCAAUCCUAUCAAAGAAAAGUCUAAAGGUAGCGCUCGCUGAUGUGGCACCUUUUUUCAGCUGGUAGACUACCAGAAGAGCCUAACUGUUAUGCAGGACAAAAUUUAGGACUGAAUUGUUAAAACUGAAACUGAGGACAAAAUUUAAAUACAGGUCAACCUUCAGGUAGAAAAUUUGUACUAUUUUAUUAAACUUUAAUAGCUCUAUUCCUUUUCAGUAUUGAAGCAUGAUUUUGUAAAUUUUCUGGAAACAGAUUGGUGGCACCCUCACCUUUUUUCAUGGGGAGGGAGUUCGAAGAUGCCUUGAGGUAGAAGCAUAUUGAGUUGUUUUUGUUCUACUAGCUGAUGAUUCAUGUCUGAAGCAUUUCUACACUUUGGCAGGUAUCAGUAACAUUGGAAACUUCAGAAACAAUCAACCAGCGUGUAAUACAUCCUUCUAGAAAGGGCUCGCCCACAAUCACAAAGGUACUUUUUGUAUAUUGUACGAGCUCAUUGAUCUCGUAAGACAGAUAUGAAGAUGCUUUCACUGGCCAAUUCAUUUCUGAAUAGUUUGUCCUUGUUUCUUUCGUGUUCUAUUUCCGCUUUGUAACAAACUGGUGGAUGCUUUCUUAAAAACAAUAAGAAAUUACUCCUGUUCUGGAUUCCCCUUCCCCCCCUUCCUCUUUUUCGCUUUUGUUACGGCAUCAGAUGCCUUCUCCCUCUGCCUUAUGAUCAAAGCACAAUGCUGUUAAAUGUAUUUGCUUUUUAGCAUCUUGAAACUGAAAGAUGAAAAGAUGCCAAACUUGUUUACAAAUGAAACAAGGAUUAAACUAUAAUGAAAGGCAGUUUGUGAAUAAAAAAAACACAUGAUUGAACAGAAGACAUGUCAAAAGAACUAAUUAUUAGUUAAUAUUUCUCGGACAGAGUGCAGGUAAUUUAAGGUUGUUGAAACAGAACUGUCUUACCGAAAUGAUCUAAGUAUGUUUAAACAAAUUUUUAAUCUGGGCAAAGGGUUGUCUUAAAGUUGCCUUAUAUAAUUGGGGUUUUCACUUAUGCCGUAUGUAUUUGUUUCUUGAUUCUAAACAUUAGUGCUCUCCAGUGCUAACUCCCUGUCUUAUCUGAAUGAUUGUGCAUUUUUCAAUAUGUUCCAAUUGUGGCAUAUUAGUUUUUUUGUGAUAAAGUUCUCUGUUUCCAAUGUACAUAUUGUCUCUGUUCUGCUGAAACCAAAAUCUUAUGGAUACGAAUUAAUGAACUAAGUAAACCUGUAGGGAAGAAUUUGUUAAAGCUCAGGUUUCUUCAUAGCUCAAUAGACACGGGCCAUAUGGCAAUUUUAGUUUUGAUUUCUGGCGAGUUCUGAUUUGUUUCUUAAUUUCUGCCUGAGAAUUUGUUUUUAUAUCUUUUUGAGCUCGAACUCUUCUAUGAAUUGGGACAUAGAAGUGAUGCAAUCGUAAUUACUUAUUCCGUGUUUAGGUUCAUAGCGAGCACCAUGAGGUUGUUGCUGAUUUACUUCAGACAAGUUUCCUUUUCUCGAUUCCUAUUGAUGGGCCCACGACGUUCUCCACCUCAAAGAUUUCGGUACAAUGGUAUCUACGUUUUGAAUUUUUCACUACUCCUGAGGAUCUGGACCUGAGAAGGUACUUAGAAAUAUGCUUGUCAUUUGUUUGUUUAAGGAAUAUUUAUGCAGAACUAUACAUCGUCUUGAAAAUAACCUAGUAUUUGAUGGAUUCCUCGUACUUCAUUUUUUUUUUCUCUCCGUAGAUACGAACACCCUCUCUUGAUCGAGCAAAGGGAAAAGGGGGAUUGGGUUCUCCCAAUAUCUGUAUAUGCACCUCCUUUACGUAGACAAGCUGCAGAGACGAGAAAUGAAAGGUCCUUGUCUCUUGGAAAUUUGCUUCCUCCUUAAAAGGUAUGCCGAACUCUUCAAACCUACAAACCAUUUUAUCGAAGGGAAAAACUCCAAAAAGCCCGUUGGUGAUACGGCUAUAUUUUGGCCGAUAGCUUUCAUUUUUGAGUUAUAAAUGAGACAGUAAAAAUGAAAGGAAAAAAAAAAUAUACAAAGACCCCUUAACUUUAGAUCUUUUACAGAUCGGCGCCUGAACUUUCAAUUUGGGCAACUAGACCCUUAAAACUUAAUCAAAUAGUUCUAUAGACCCCUCUCUUCAAUUAAAGUUAUCAAUUAUACAAUCGUAUUGACCGUAUUUAUUGCAUAUAGUUUUAUGAAGCUUCAAAACAUAAAAAACUCACCUUUUGCAUUAACAUGUAAAAAAAGUGAUAAAAGUUGAAAUUCGGUUCAACCUAUUUUUUGAUCGUCAUGCUUAAUUAUCAAAAUUAGAAGAGAAAAAAUAUAUUUCUUUAUUCUUUGAAGUUUUACAAAAUUUAUGUGUCUAACACCCAAUCAAAAUGGUUGUGUAAUUAGUAAAAAUUCAUAUGAGGAAAUGGGUCUGUAGAAUUGUUUGAUAAAGUUUAGGAAAUGUCAUUGCCGAAAUUGAAAGUUUAAACGCCUAUUUGCAAAUGAGCUCAAGUUCAGGAAGUCGUUAAACGUUUCUCACAAAACGAAACGCCACUGUGCUGUAAAUUCGGUAACCUUUCUGAUACAUGUUUAGAUCUUAGAUUGUGAAGCACUUUGCUGCAUGACAUAACAUAUCUCGAAUGGUAAAUGAUCGGUUGUUUACAAAUUUUCUCCCACAAGAGUGUUUGAGCUUUCUUCUUUGUCCAGGCAGAGCGUGAUUUGGCAGAAGUCAAUUAAUCAUCAACAGAAUGAGAUAAAUAUAUGCACAUAACCACAUUGACUAAAUCUAACAAUUUUGUCUAGGCUUAUCUUUCAUUUACGUUGUUGGAACUUGUAAAUGUAGCUAGCUCUUUUUUUCUGCAGAUGCUAACAUUCUCUUGUUCUUGCAGAUUCGGUGUGCGCACGUCAAUCAGAAUACCGAGUGCCCACCAAAAUCAAGCAUGGGCCGCGAAUGGACAUUGACAAUCCGAUCGUUCACAACAUUUCCGCGAUCGUUUAUCAAUCGUUCACAACAUUUCUGCGAUUGUUUCGUGGGGGCGCGCACGCUUAUGAUUCUGAAUGUUGAGGCAUUUACCAUUCUUGUGUUAGUCCUUGUCUCUGUCAGAUGUAUUUGGCCACCCCUUCGUUAACACACAAUCUCUUUUCGAUGCCAUACAUGCGCGUACUGACGCUGGAUAACAUUUCUGUUCUUCUCUUUACUGAAACGUACGUGCUGUUGUUACAUGUACAAACGAGAAUGCCGCCGCAGUUCUAAUUUCCUGAUCAUUUUUGUGUCGACAUUGAUCUCAUUUUUCUUAGUUACUCAAAACUCUGGAUUUUGCUGAUGCUAAGAUUCAUCCUUAUUAUGAUAUCUGAUACUUUGAAUCCAUCAAAUUUAUACCUUUUCUUAUGCUUUGAAGUUAGAAAAUUCAUUGUGCAAAGUCACGCCAUGAAGCACCACAACAAGAAGUUUAUUAUAAACUUAGAGUGCGUUUCGUUCGCGCUAUCUUUUUUAAGAUUUCUAGUAAUUCAAUAGAAAUAAAAAAAAUAUGACGGUGUUUGGCUAAACGCACUAAGUAAACUAGUUAGUAAUAUUAAAUUUAUUUGAAAAUGAAAUUUAUUUCAAAGUACUGAUCUCAUUUUUUUGAGGGAGGGUGGGUAUCUUCAUAUUAAUGAAUUAGGGUAAUCGUAAUAUGUCUAAUCUCUUUUUUCUUCUUUUUUGCCGAUUAAUUGAUAUUAUUUUUCUUUACACUCUAACUUCAUAUCUCUUUCUAAACUUAUCUUUUUCUCUCUAAAUUUUAACUUUUAUUUUCUCUCUCUAAACUAAACUUUCUCUCUCCCUCUUUUUUUUAAAUCUCAACUCUCUUACUUCCUCUAUUCUCGAUUCUAUUUCUCUUCCUAUUUCUUUAAUUAUGCUCUCUUUUUCGGAUCUAUAUUCUCUCUUUCUUUUUUCUAAAAAAAUGUUAAAAUUUUUUUUAGCAUUAUCUAAAAUUAAUUAAAAAAUAAAUAAAUUAAUUAUAUAUUUUUUAUAAUUUUUAAGUAAUAUGACUAAAUAAUAUGACCGUACGAACCAAACACAUGAAUGCCAUAUUUUUAAAUAAUAAAAUAAAUAAAAAUAAGAUUCUCGAAUAUUAUUUUAUUUCUUAUAAUCUUUCAUAAUGCGAACCAAAUACGUCCUUAAAUUAUUAACACAAUACCAUUAUUGAUAUACAAACAAGCCAUAAUUAAAUUACUCUCUAUACUCUAUAUAUUGCCUGGUGCUUCUUUUAUUGUCAUUAAUUCCAUGCAUGGUUCAUCGUAUAUUUCUUUCAUCUCAUCAAAUACAUCAAUCAGUUCAAUUUAAGUGUGUUCUUGACGGGUACCACAGGGCUCCUGGUGUUUGCUGCCGAUGUGGGGGUUAUGCGCCGCCGACGGCCGCACCGUCCCCGUCGCGAUGGCGAUCGGCUGCGACUUUGCCAUGCCGGGCUCCACAUACCCUCCCGCCGCCUGGCCCCCGACGACAUGACAGCCACCGCGGGCGGCAGCAGCAGCAGCGGCAGCGGCAGCGGCGGCGGCAGCGGCGGCAGCGUUGUGGGGGCGCUCCGUCGCCGCCUCCCGUUUGGCGGCCUCGGCUUCGGGGAUCCUGUCGUGCUUGUGCUGCUCCGCCGGGUGCGACGCCGUCAGCUUCUCCGCCCUUGCCUGCAGAGCCGCCUGCGCCUUCUCCGCGUCGGCCUUUGCCGACUCCACCGCCCUCUUCCCCGCCUCCAUCUUCUUCUAAUAUAUAAGUUCCUUGUUUUGAUCCUCUCCCCUCUUCACUAUUCUUCUUCUUCUUGUUGUUGUUGUGCAAGCUAAUUAAACUACAUGCAUCUAUAGAAUUGAACUGAAGCAGUAGCUGGUAUAUAUAAACCUGUAAGAAGGGGAGGGACGAGGACGUGAGGACGUGGCGUGGCAUGGCACGUAGCAUGCAUGGAUUCGAGAUCGAGGUGACGCGUGUCGGGGACACGUGCGAGGAUCCUCUUACGUAGCGAAUGUUGGAUGGUCACGUUCUUUUUUCCUCAAAACAUUAUUUCAAAUAAAAUAAUAUGGUAUUGUUUCUGAUUAGGCUUCUAAUUAUUUCUCACUCACAAUAUGCUAAAAUAUAUAACAUAUUUUAUAAUAAUUGAACCCUCUCUCAGCUCUCUGUCACCAAAUUACAAAAAAAAAAAAGAAAAAGAGAGAGAGAGAGAGAUAGAGUUACCACAAAUUUCUCGUAAAUUUAAGGAACCUUCUUAACUUUUUAUUUAUUUAUUUAAACUUUAGUCCCUCCUUGAUUGUUGGAGAAGGAUUUAGAUUGAUUAGAGUGAUGGUACAAAAUAGAAAAGUCUAAUAAAGUAUUGUACUAGUCCAAGUUCAAAGUGGGGCAUCAUUUGGACUAAGUGGCUUUUGGACUUUUAACAUGGGGGGUACAAUGUCAAAUGCCCUAUCUCUUCUUAACAUUUUUUUAAUAAAUUAUUCCAAAAUAACCAAUUUUUUAAAAAAAGGGAAAACUUCGAAAACCCCCAUGUGGUUUCGUAGUUUUUCAUUUUGUCCCCCUGUGGUUUAAAAUAUAUCAAUUUGCCCCUCUGUGGUUUCGUUUUUUUCUUUUUCUUAUCAAUUUCAUUAUUUUUUUUUCUUAAAUCAGUAAUAAAGUUAAAAUUAAAGGAUACUAAAGUGAAUAUUUGAUAAAUCUAGAUGGGUAUCUGAAGUUUUUUGUAUAUAAUUUAAUAAAAUAUUAACGAAAAAGCUACCCAAAAGAUAAAAAUAAAACCACAGGGGGGCAAUUUGAUACAUUUUAAACCAUAGGGGGUAAAGUGAGAAACUACGAAAUCACAUGAGGAUUUUUUGAAGUUUUCCCAAUAAAAUAAAGGAUUAGCUCCUUUUCUCUCUCUCUCUCUUUUUGGGUAAUAAUGCUAUGCUACCUUAUCUUAAUUUAUAUAAGAUAAUUAUUAUUUUUUUAAAACUUAAGUUAAUAAAAAAUAAUAUUAAAUAUAAAAAUAUAAAAACAUUCGGCUUCAAAAGAAAAUAAAAAUAUUAUUUUCUACCAGUUUUUAGAGAAUAGCAGUUCUUUUAUUUUAUUUAACAGGGUAUCAGAGUUGAUUUUUAAUUCAUUCGUUUUGUAAGGUUAUGGAUUUAAUUUUCACCUUUGAAAUUAAAUUUUCACAAUUAUAUAAAAGGGUUAAAUUCUCGUUUUUUAUCUUAUUUAUUAAUUUUACAUGUCUUUUUUUAUCUAUCACCGACUUAUAGGCUUGCUAAACGUAAAAAUAUGAUAUCUGAGCGACUGUGUUUUGAGAAAAUUUUAAAGUGCUCGUAGCAUCUAUUCAUCUUUGCAUAGUUAGCUAUACAUCAUGAAUACUUUUAUAAACCUCGUGUGUCCACGUCUGACUUGCACGUGUUAGGCUCGUGUUUGAUGCGGACACGCCAUGAACGCGCACGGAUACUUUUAUAAACCUCGUGUGUCCACGAUUCAUUAUCGUGUUUGAUGCGGAAGCGCCAUGUAUAUAUAUAUAUGAUAUAUUAUAUUAGAGAGAGAGAGAGAGAGAGAGAGAAUAGAACUUGUGUGCUAUUAGGAGGACAGAGAUUCGUGCUCCUAAAUUAUUUUCGAUGAUGAAACUUUCGAAUUGAGGAUCGACUCUGUUAGAUUUGAUUUAGCAUAUUUAAACUAUAUAGAAAAUAAAUUUUACGAUUUUUCGAUUUUAUUUAUCUAGUGAUCGAAAGGACCAAAAAUCAACGAUUAAAAAUAAAAAUCUCACAAAAUGUUAUGAUGUACUAUUAAAAUUUUCGAUUAGAGAUAUUGAUCUUAUUGUAGAUAAUAUAAAGAAUUUUCUAUUAAAAUUUCAUCUGAUUUGAAUAUUUCUACACCGUUAAACUUACAAACGGCACACAACAACUAUUAAAAAUUAUUGAUUUUGAAUCAUUUCAAUUACUUGGUAAAUGAUAUCCAAAAUCCGAAAAAAUUAAUUUCUAAAUACUUCAAAUACGCUACAUCAAGUCUAACGGAACCGAUCGUCGAUUCGAAAAUUCCAUCAUAAAAAACGGCUAUAAGAAUAUAGAGGCCUUUGUGCUCCUAAUAGCAUGUAAGUUCUACUAUAUAUAUUAUUUUAUAUUUUUCUACACAUAUAUAAUGUAGAAUGAUAAAUAUUUUGGCUUUUUGAUGAAUGUGUACAAAUUUUUUUGGACAAUAUAAAUAAAUUCUGUAUGAUGAAAAAUUUCUUUCCUUCAAAAUAUAUAAAUUACUAAUAAAAAUUUUAUUAACUUUCAUUCAUAUAAGAAAUAUAAUAAUAGUUUAAUAAAAGAGUUAGGCUGGUAUACUAUCGGUAGCAUGGAGGCCUCCGUGUUACCGAGUUGUUUUCAAUGAUGCGGCUUCUAAAUCGAUGAUCGGCUCUGUUAGACUUGAUCUACAUUAUUAAAAGUAUUUGAAAAUUAAAUUUCAUAAGCUUCCGACAUCAUUUAGCGAGUGAUCAUCAUUUAGCGAGUGAUCAGAAGGUUUCAAAAUUGAUAAUUUUAAUGGUGGAUAUGAUGCGUUUGUGAAUUUAACGGUGUAAAGCAAUUCAAAUCUAAUGAAAUUUUUAUAGACAAUUCUUUUCACUAUUUAGAGUAAAAUCAAUACAUCUGAUCUUAAAUUCAAAUUUUUUAUCAUCAUUUUUUAGGAGAUUUUUAUUUAAUUAAAUUUAUUUUUUUAAUUUGAAUAGAUUUUUGAUUUUUUCAGCUGGUUAUUUUUUUUAGACUACUCGUUUUGAAUUAGUUAAUAAUGCCAGAAAAUAUGAAUAUUUUAGUUUUCCAAAUACUUUUCCAAUUGUGUAGAUACUAAUGCUAAUCUGAGCCGAUCAUUUUUUCCGUGAUUUGGAAGCUCAUCAUUGAUAAAUAACUUGGUAGCAUCGGAGACCUUCCCUGCUAACCUUUUUGUUUGUUAUACAAGCCAGGCUCUUUAAAAUUUUUUUAAUUAUUGUGAAAUAUAACAAAUUACAUAUUAUUUAUAUUUAAUAAAUUAUUUUUAUAGCAUGUUCAAUUCGUUGUUCCAUCUUCUUUUUUUUUAAAGUUGCUUGAGUCUACUAUAUUUGAAGCUUAUUGUAUUCGUGGUUCUGUGUCCGUGUCGGGAUACUCAGCCGACUUUCUUUUCGGGUUUAAAAUUGAUUAUCUAUAUCAUAUUGUUCGUCCUCUGUAUAGUGUAAUAGGUGUAUACUUGUUUCACUUUAUUAAAGUAGUUAGUAAUAUGUGUAUUGUUGCAAUGUAGUCAAUUCAAUACUUUUUCAAUGUGCUUAUUUUUUUUUCACAUUCUAUUUAUUUUCGUUGUUUUGAUACCUUGAGUCCCUCCUAGAUCAUAUGUGAAAGCUUGUUGGUUGUGUUAUCUUUUUUUUUUUUUUUUUUUUUCGGAUUUGACCUUUCAAGGGAGAAAGCCGCAGUGGAUUUUGCAAACAUGGUUCAGGUAAGUUUAUUGUUAUAAUUUUUGAAAUUAAACGAAACUUGGGUUAUCUUGUGUUUGUGCUACCUUUAUCUGUCUUUCAUAAAAAAAAAAAAAAAUAGUUGGUUCUCUCAAAUUUUAACAGACACGUGUAAGAAAAUUGGCGGUAAUUGAAAGGAUGUUUUGCGUUUUUAUUUAUUGGCCCCAACACAAAAUCAUUUUUAAUACUUGGUAGUAUUCUUAUCCCAAUUGGUCACUAGCAUGUGGAGUGGAGAGUUGAACCCCAUGGCCCUCAACUUGUUGGGUUUGACCCUCAAAGUGGAUAAUUCAAUUUCUUUAAUUUUUUUAAAAUUUUUUAAGAUUAAUUUCAUAUAACUUUAUAUAAAUAUAUUGAAUAGCAUACAUAUUUCUACAAAGUUCAACUUUUUAUAUUUAUUUAUACAAAAGUUCAAUGAUAUUCAUAUUUGUCCCUCUGGUUUGUUGUUUAGAGAAAGAUAAUAUAUUAUCCGCUUCAUUUACUUAUUUUAGAAAUAAACUUAGCUGAAAAUAUGAAUCAAUUAGGAUUCGAACCUGGGAUCUCGGAUAUCAACCAUCAAGUCCCUUGCCACUUGCGUUAGGAAAGGUCGAUUUGUCCCUUUGAUUUGUUACUGUUAGAGUACUGUUUAUUUUUUAACAGAAGAUAAGUAAAAUGAUAUUUUUGUCAUUAUAAAUAUAUCUCUAAAAAAAAUUCAACUGUUAGAAUUAUAAAGAAAUGUCCUCCCAAAAAUUUUUAACGGUCAUCUUCUUUCUUUCGACCAUCAUAAAUAAUAUAAGAAGGGUAAAAAAAUCAAUUUAUCUCAUUCACUAAUCAGAGUUAAGUAUUUUUUACUUAUGGUUAACUAUAAUUUUCUAACGGAUCCUAACAAUAGAGGUAUAUCUAAAAACUUCAAAACUUUUGUAAGAAUAAAUAUGAAAAGUUGAACUUUGUGUAAAGGAAAUGAUCGGACAUGAAUUCUUUACAAUACUAAGUGCAAGAGUUGAAAUUAUAAUAAAGUCACAAAUUAACUUAAAGUAUAAGUAAGAAAUUAUAAUAAAUUAAAAUUUGAGCGUUAAAAUAUCACCUAUUUCAUAGUUUAUAAGAACCAAACGUGCAAUUUAUCUUUUAAUUUUUACUUACUAAAUCCCUUUCAUAGAUAUAGAUUCUAAAUUUGAAUCCUGCGUACGUAGGCCUACAAACAACAUCUUAAAAGAUUCAUAGCUAUAAAUGCAAAAAAAAAAAGAAAAAAAGCACUUGGUGUGUAUCUCAUAUUGGCACAUAAUGAAUUCCACUGCAUUGAAAAAAUCUACAUAAAAUAAAAAAAAAAGAUAAUAAUGUUCAUUUUUCAACUACUGAUUAUUAAGAUUGUCGAGCAAUUAUACUUUGAACUUAGAUCUUAGGUACUAAAUCAACUGUAUUAGGUAUGGUCGAUUUACAAUCUUUUAUUUAUAGGCUCUUUAGAUAGUUUAGAUUAAAUGUAUUGGGUUGAAUUUUAAUUUUAAAAAAUAUUGGGCAUAAAAAAAAAAUUAGAUGCAUGCAUUAGUGGGGCAGGAGAAUUAAAAUAAAAUUGUGCAUAGACCCUCUCAACUACAAGACGUUUUGAAAUAGCUCCAUUACCUAUCAUUUUUUUUUAAUGGUUGAGACAUAAUACCUUAUAAUUUUUUAAAAUUAAGUAAUUUUAAUUAGAAAAUUUUUAAAAACUUAUUAAUUUCAUUAACAGUUUUACUAACUAGGCCAAACAGUUAAUAACUAAUAAAAUUAUUAACUUAAUUAAGUAUAAAAAAUUUCAAAAUGUACGAAAUUAGAGGUUGAGGGGUCUCAAUCAAAAGAAAAAAUACAAAAGAAAUAGUUGAGGGCAAUUUUUAGAUUAGAAAUAGUUGAGGGGGUUUCCGUACAAUUUUACCUCUUAUUAAUGUAUUAACUAAAAAAAGAGUCUUUGUUCGCACACUUCCGAUUCCAAUUUAGGACACGAACAACUCCUCAAAAAGCCGCCUUUUUUAUUCUUUAUUAUCACCUUUUUUUUUUGAUUAAUUAAUAAUAUUAUUGUUGUUGUUUAAUCCUCUCCUUCGAUAAUUCCGGGAACACGGGAGUAAUCGAAAGAGAGAAGGUGCGAGCUUUCUCUCUCUCGCUCUCUUGCCCAUAACUUGUUUGAUGUAUUGUGUGUGUGAAAUUUUGAUUCUUUUAAUUGGUUUUAUGGGUUUUUCUUUUGGUUUUUUAGCUGUAUAAUUGAAUUGGGUUUUGUUUGUUUUUAGUGGUGAUGAUGCGGAGAUGCGCUUUGGACCUUGUUCGGCGGUGUUCGGACUCUCGGAGAACGAAUUAUUUGGUAAUUUUUGAUAAUUUUUUUAGCAUGAAUAUGCAAUUUUUGGUUGGAAUUGAUCAAAAAUUAAAACUUUAUCCUUUUUUUUUUUGACUCUGAUUGAGUAAGUUUAAUUGUAGAAAUGUUUGGUUUUUUUUCCCCCCUUAUUAUGUGGGUUUUGGAGUUUGUGGGUAAUUUGUAGGAUAAAGCCCAAAAUUUCAGAAGCUACAAUAUCUCAAAUCCCUUUUUUAUUUGUUUAAUUUUUCUCUUUAUUUGCUUGUAUUUUGGGUUCUGUUUUAUGGAAUAAUUAGGCCUCUUCCUUCCCAAAAAUUGAAAAAAAAAAUGGCUUUUGAGUUUGAAAAUUUGUAAUGGAGCCACCCCUGUUGCUGAUAUUUGACUAGAACAGUGUUCUUCUUAUUACCAUAAAACUGCUUCUUUUUAAUUAUGAAUAUCAGUUCAAUGUUUCCGCAAAGAGUUAGAAGAUCUUAGGAUCAAUUUGUUAGAGCCAAAAUGCUCACAAUUUGCCAAAAAAAUCAGUGAUUUCAAUGGAAAAAAAAAAUUAAAAAAAACUUUGGGGUUGUUAGGUUAUUGUAAGAUUAGUGAAUCGAAAAUUGUGAGCUGCAUUUUAAAGAUUCAUGGUUUUGUUGUUGUAGCCCUUUUGUUUGGUUAAACUAUUUUGUUCUUAUUAUAUGUUUAGCAAUGCAUAGCUUUUUCUGAACUUCAGCUUUAAGAUUGUGUUCUCAUUUCAUAAAAUUUGUGGCCAGGUUGAUGCAUGUAGACUCAGAUAUGGAUAUAAGCAGAACAAUUGUCCCCCACAUAGAGGAAGUGAUGAAUGCGCUUCGACGAUUAAUAGCCCGAGCUGUUCCAGUUCACAAAGUUAUGCAACUUCAUGUGCUACAUGGCCCGAUACACAACCAAGAGAGAACCCCUCGUCCGACAUGUUGAUCGAUUCAUUCGGUCGUUUCCACAACUAUUUGCGAAUCUCAUUAACAGAACGUUGCAAUCUCCGGUGUCAGUACUGCAUGCCGGCCGAAGGGGUCGAACUGACCCCGAAUUCCAACCUUCUGUCCCACGAUGAGAUUAUUCGACUCGCAGACCUGUUCGUGAGUUCCGGAGUGGAUAAGAUUCGGUUGACGGGCGGAGAGCCGACAAUUCGGAAAGAUAUAGAGGAUAUAUGUUUGCAUCUCUCUAGCUUGAAGGGAUUGAAAACACUUGCUAUGACUACUAAUGGGAUUGUUCUCGCAAAGAAACUCCCGAAGUUGAAAGAAUGUGGGCUCAGUGCGAUAAAUAUUAGUUUGGACACGUUGGUUCCUGCAAAGUUUGAGUUCAUGACCAGGCGGAAAGGGCAUGCGAGGGUUUUGGAGUCGAUUAACACUGCCAUCGAGCUUGGAUAUAAUCCUGUCAAAGUAUGGAGGCUUCUUUUACUUGCUAUAUUUCUGUUUUAUUUUGGUUUCUUAGUGAUAAACCAUAUUCUGUCAUGUUUAUCUCCAUUCAUUUUAGAAUGAGAUUGGGCAUUGUUUUUCUUGUAAAAGCUUUUGCAUAUGUAGCUUCCUAAAUUAUCUAUGUGCAUAUGUGUCUCUUCAAGGUGCUAUUUUGUACACAAAAAAAAAGUUAUCCCGAUAAAGCACAAAGGUAAAUGUGCAAGUAAUUAUGUGUCUAAAGGCAUAUAUGAUAAUUUGAAGUUUCGAGGGAUGCACAUGUAAGUAGAAAUUGUUGGAGUUUACAUGUAUAUUGAUCUGCUUUUAGAGAAGCAGCUAACUUUUAGAUCCUCCUUUUUGCUUCAAUUACAGGUCAACUGUGUUGUAAUGCGGGGAAUGAAUGAUGAUGAGAUUUGUGAUUUUGUCGAACUGACGAGAGAGAAGCCGAUUAAUGUUAGAUUCAUUGAGUUCAUGCCAUUUGAUGGAAAUGUUUGGAACAUCAAAAAGCUAGUACCCUAUGCUGAGAUGUUGGAUAAAGUGGUAAGGUUAGGACUCUGACAAGUACUAAAUAUCUUCAAUUAGAAGUUAGAAAAAAAAAAUAUAUAUAAUGCUUAAAUAUUCACUUCUAAAUUAACUGUUACUUUUUCAGGACAUAUUCUAUUAAUUUGCUGAUAACAGCAAUCACAGCAAAGUCCUUAGAAGUUGAGUUUAUACUUAGUAAUUCUGUCUAUUACAUCCAUUUGAUAUUGUCGUUAUUUUGGUAAUUGAUCGAGCAGCGGCAACAAUUUAAGGAUGUAAGGAGGCUUCAAGAUCACCCUACAGAUACAGCCAAAAAUUUCAAAGUCGACGGACACUCUGGAACUAUAUCAUUCAUUACAUCAAUGACUGAGCAUUUUUGUGCGGGAUGCAAUAGGCUGCGGCUCUUAGCUGAUGGAAACUUUAAAGUGUGUUUAUUUGGUCCCUCAGAGGUAUAUUACGCUCUUUUUCAUGCACUGUUACCUUCUCAUCAUGUGAUAGAAUGAUCUUAAUGCCCCAUGUUAUUCUUCGUAAUAUUAUUAAUACUUUGGGAAUAAAUUUUAUAUCUAUUUUCAGAAGAGAUAACAUUUCAAAGCAUAUAAUAUUUAAUUGGUAGAGUUAAUUUCUUUCAUCAGGUUAACGCGAUAACCGGUGACAAAUUUUGCUUAUGUUUAGAAAUUAUUGUGUACACUUCACUUUCUUCUUUCUUAUUCUGAUUUUCUUUUCCUUUCUAUAUUAUUUGUUAUAAUAGAUGAAUCUGUGCCUUUAUAAUGAAAUGUUACCUGAUGUAUAUAAACUUAUAUAAACUAAUAUUCAAGCCUGUGCAACCCUGCAAUCGCCUAGUUCUCGUACUUUAUAUAGUUUAAAUCACUUUUGAUGUCACAUCUCUCUGAUGAAGAGCUCUACUUCAUGAGAUUCUUACUAUUUUCUCCUUGAAUGAACUGAAAUAUUUUGUUUUAUAUGGAUAGAACAUUUAUGUUCAAAGUAACCCUUAUGUUUUUAAGAUUGUACUUUUAUUUUGCAUAUUUAAAUAUUGAGAUGAUAUUACUUUAGGCGACAUUCAUCUUAUUUUAAGAAAAAGAAGGGCACCCUCAUUUCAAAUGUUUUCAGUAACCACGAGAACUAAUUCUGUUGGAUUUCAACUCUUUAGGUGAGUUUAAGGGAUCCACUUCGUGCUGGUGUCGACGACCUCGAGCUAAAGGAUAUAAUUGGUGCUGCGGUAUGUGGAAACUUCUACCCAUUCAUUAUACUAUCCGAAACAUGUCCUCUUUUUCUUUUUUUGAUAUUUUGAGUAUAUACGCCUGCAAAGCUAUCUACUUACAUGCAUAUCCCCGUAAAAUCUUACUACUCAUAUAUAUAUGCCCAUGAAAAGCGUACUUUCUUACGUAUACUCCCUUUUACUUAUAGAAAAGCUCCUUUCAAAACUUUUUCGCCUAUGAAAUUGAUUACUCUUCUCUCUGGAGAUAAGGGCAUAUUAUGUGAUUCUAGACUUCGAAGGGAUAUAAAUGAAAAUAGAGAGUUUACAAGAUUAAUUACAUGGAUAGAUGAUUUUACAGGGAUACAUAUUUCAAUCCCCUUCUUUUGAAUCAAUGAACAUGUCCUGGGAGCUUAUGAAAAGAAUUUUUUUUAUUUUUUUUUUCAAUUUAGCAUAUUUAGCUUGCAUAUACCUAUAUAGGUUGAGAAUUGAAGGUGCCUUUCUUCUUUUUCAGGUUAAGAGGAAAAAACGUGCACACGCGGGGAUGUUCGACAUAGCAAAGACAGCAAAUAGACCCAUGAUUCAUAUCGGUGGCUGAGGUAUUUUAUCAAAAGUCGAAGCCUUUUUUUAUCUACUGAUGUUGCGCUUACUGCCUUUCUAGACAUGAUAAGAGAGACGUGAAGCGAAUUUCUUACAUGAAUGUUUACACACCUACUGUUGAUCCAAGAGCGUGAGCUGAAUAGUUUUUGUUUAAAAUACUGAGCUGGAAAUAUGUGUCGAUUAAGUUAAUCAUUGUUGCGCUGAACGAGAGGGCAGAUUAGAAGUAAAUUACUGAAAUGGAAAUUACUGAAACUGGAAAUAUGUGCGGCGUCAGUCCAGUACAUUAGACCUAUCUUCCAAAUGAAGAAAGAGUAAUGCUGAAUGUUUUACGUUCCAUAAAUUUAUAAAGUGGUGGGAAAUUAAGUGAACGGCGCGAAAUCAUGUAGCCAUCCAGAAAUAGGUAAUGUAGAACACAGGCAAGUAUUGUAUUGCAUCGCAAUAUAUAAUGUGUUAUCUGACAUUAUAUUUACUGUUUUGAUAGUUUCUCUCACUAGGAGUUCAGAAUUGAAGAGAUAUGAGUUGCGUUAAAUCUUUUGACAAAUCCCAGGCCAUCAAUGAUAGCUUCGCGCCCUUUCUGCCAUUUCGAUUUGUUUAACCUAUCGCGACUCUGUUGAUUUUAUUUCCUUUUGAAGUUGCUAUGAAUUUAAGUGUCUUUGGAUAUAUAUGUUAUGUUUCCCUACUUCCAUCUCUUUUAAGUCACUAGCAAAAGCUGAUGAUUCAUUCUGUAUGGUAUUUUACCUCUCUUUCAGGUUAUCAUGGAUUCUGAGGGAGCUCCUCUUUUUUUUUCUUUUUUUUUUUUUUUUUUUUUUUUUUUUUUGUUUUGUUGGGGUCCUCUUUUUUUUUUUUUUUUUUUUUUUUUUUUUUUUUUUUUUCAGGGAGUAAAAGGUACUGAUGCUCUUACAACUACAGUAUAUCAAAAUGGCCAAAAUCAAGAUUAUUUGAGCUCUCACCAACUUGGUGGAAGGUCUUGUUUCCAAGUACACACUGUUUUUUACUUUAUCCAAGCUUCUGACAUGUAAACUAGUGGGAUUGUUUUAAGCUGUAAACUCAAGAUCAUGUAAUGAUCAUACAUAGUAAUGUUGUUUUGUCCUUACAUGUAAUAUAUACACAAAACUUGGAUACCUAUAUAUUUAUGUUGGUAUUUGGCAUCUUUAAUGCUGUUUGAGUAGAAUUAUUUGAAGACGCGGCAAUAGCUUAAUCGUUUAAAUCCGCUUGGCAACUUCAUACCAGAACAAAAUUAGCCUGGAUGUGCUUAUUUAGCUUUGCACCACAAAAUUGGAUAGAAUUGCAAAUCAGGAUGCAUCAAAUCUCUUGUUUGGAAAUGUUAGUGGUUGUGAUUUUGUGGAUCGUAAACGCUGCCAACUAUUCCAAAUACACGUGUUGAUAAGAAGGGAACAUUCAUCGCACUUGAAGGUUUUGCCACAGUCAUGAAUUUUGACUUAAACUCAAUCCAUCCGGACGUUUGGCCUUUUGCUGUUAGGUCUAUUGUGAACCGCAGCUCUACUCAAUUGAGUAAAAAGUUAGACGUAUUUUUGCCAAUAAUAAAUCGCUAACAUUCUACCCCUCAACACCUAUGCCACUAACUCUAAUAUCACUUCUGCAUCAUAAGUGCUGACCAACUAUCUCAAAAUACGUGUUGGCAGGAAGGACAUACUUAUCAUAUUUAAGAUCCUAGCCACGGUGCUUACGAACUUCGAGCUGGCUCAAUCCAUCUGAAUGUUAGGCCUAUUGUGAAUCGCAGCCCCACUCUACUUAUUGAACUCACGCAACUCAAUUUAUUAGUCUUUUGGAUCUAUUGUCACAAGCAGAAAGUUGAACUUAUUUUAGCCAAUAAUAAAUAGCCAACAAAUUUGACCUAAUUUCAGAUGAAUAAAAAUGAUUUAUUUGCAAAUCAGGUGAUUGGAUGUCUGAUUUCAAACAUCAAUGGUUGUGACUUUUUUUCCCCUCCUUUUUCCUUAAAAUCUACUUUAGAUAUAUAUCUUUUGCACAUAAAGUCGAAGUUUAACUUUUUUGUACAUAUCCUUUUGGUUAUUUAAAUAUAUAUUAUCAUUCAAAGUGUGGGCCUAUGUUGAUAGUUUAUUAAAAGAGGUAGCUUCGUCUCACCUAUAUAUAUAAUCUUCCAAUUGACUAAUAAACAUGCAUAUUAAUAAAUAAAUAACAAUUGUAAAUUAAAUAUAUUGGUGCUUAAUUACUUUAUUGAAUUACUUUAUUUAUAAGUUAGAGCCAUUGUCAUGUUUUCUAUAUAAACAUCACAAUUUUUGUGCAUCUUUACUUAUAGCCAUGCCCUCUUUGGUUGUACCUACACUCAAUAAUUUAAUCAUAUCUUUGCCAAAAUAAUUAAUAAUAGUAAUAAUAAUAAUAAUAAUUAAUACUGAGAGCUUAAUGCCCAAGUUUCUAUUUUUGAUUAUAUUAUGCAUAAUUUAUAAUCAAAUUACGUAAAACUUUUGAAUUAGAUGUAAAUGUGAUUAAUUUGAUAUCAAAUUGAGGGUUGCACAAUUUAUUUUACUUUUAUUUAUUUAUUUAUUUAUUUAUUUUUUGUGUAACAACUUACAAAGUUAUCUCAGAGUUUUUGGCCUUUCAAUUGGUUUUUCUAAUAAUAAAUAUUUGAGUGAUAAUGCUUCAGUACAAACUUCUAAUCUCAACCGUUCAUUUCCCUCCAUUGAUUUGAAGCUGCCCAUUUUUCGCCGUUACUUGAUCAAGCAAAAAAUUGUUCUGAAGCAUUAUUUGUAAAUUUUUUUAUAGAGGGUUUAAAUUUGAAUGGUAAAUUGGUGAACUAAAUUAAAAAUAUGUACUAGAGUACAAAACAUGACAAUUAAUUAAAGUUAUUAAGCACUAUAUUUAGAAGAAAAUCCAAGCAAAAUUAAAUCGAAUUUAAGUACCGGAUAAUUCGGUUGAAUAUGGAUAUAAAUAAUUAAAUUUUCAAUUCAAUCUCAUUAUUUGGAAAAAAAAAAAGAUGAAAAUCAUCUCAAGUUAAUUAUCUAAAUACUAUACAAUUGAAAAUUGGGUAAUUUUGGGUUACUUAAUAAGUACUAAGUAACAAACAAUUUCUCAUCAAAUUCAACCUUAAAUCAUAAACUUUGAAUCGAAAACGUAGCGUUUUUGGGAAUUAGAAUUCUAAUUUGAUUAAAUUGUGGGAUUUGAAUUUUAAACAAGGAGUAAACAUUUAGAAGCCUUUAUACAUUGGAAGUUCAUUUAUUAAAUAAUGAAAAAGCACAUCAUAUUAAUACAUUGAUUGAGAAAAAUAGUAUGGGGCAUUUUUUGACUGAAAAAUUGUUUAAUUUUUAUUCAUUUAAUUUCAGAAAAAAUAAAUUUUUUAGAAACUGAUCUUAUGUGAAAAAUCUCUGUAUUAUUUUCUAAAUUGUUUUAACUGAGAAACAAAAGCUUAAAAAAAAUUAUAUUUUCCAUAAAAUAUAUACACUUUUUUUUAUAAAUUUUUUUUUUCUAAAAGCACCCCCUAAACGUGCCAAUCUACUUUAAAGUCCAAAUGGAUUCCAUGGAAAAGUUUUACUUCAAACAAUGCAUUCACAUCCACUACUUUUUUCUUCUUUUUUUUUUCCUGAGAUACAUGCAUGCAUCCACAUCCAAUUGGUAGUGCCCUUGUUCUAUCACACUCUGAUCCAUCAAUUCAUUUAAUUAAUGUGUAUGUUGGAAACAAUUUAUGACCUAGUUACACAGUGAAACUUGGAAGUGGUAUUAGUUAACAGAUCCAUAUUUGAUAGAGGUAAAGUAAAUUUAUUAAAUUUGAUUAAACUCAAUCAACAAAAUAUUAUAAGAUGUAAUGAUUAAAUUUAUUUGUCAGAAUCAGAAUUAUACACUUUCUCAAUGAAAAUUGUUUUGCCCUAAGAGUAUUUUACUUGCACAUGAAACAUGCAUUUAAAAUUAGUAUUUAUGGACAUAUAUAUAUCGACUUUUAUGCCAAGCAUGGAUAAAAUAUAUUUUGACGCUUUAAAGCGCCAGUAUUUUUCUAAAUUCUGAUGCUUUAAAACAUAAAAAAAUUAAAAAUAAUAAUAAUAUUUAUCAUUGACUUGAUACAAUAGAUUAUUUAUAUGACGACGUUUUUUAAAGUGUUAGUAUUUUGUUAUAAUUGCAGAGACCCUCGAAGAAAGUUUCCACCUAACAGUCGUGUAAAAAACGUCCUUAUAAUGUGUUUUCUGUAGUUAAGCUGCUACAUAUAUUAGGCUCAAAACAAUAGCAAUUUAAUCAUAUAAUGCAGCAACACCCAAAAAAAACAACUUACAAACUCUAAAUUCAAAGCUAAUUAAGAACGAAAUGGAAAACCAAUCACACUAGUGACUUUACCUUUCAUGUACCCUUUUUUUUUCUUUUCUUUUCUUUUCUUUGAGAAAUGUACAGUGAAAAAAUGGGGAAAGAAAUAGAAGAAAUUUUUUUUUUUUUAACAAUCAUCCCUAAUCCCAAAUUCAAUCAGCAACCCAAUCUCCCACCAGAAGAAAUUAAAUUAAGAUCAAAACAAAACAAAAAAGUAAAAGAGACAAAAAAAAGAUAUAUGCAAAAAUUGGAGUAAUUAAUUACUGAUCCUCAAAGUAAUUAACCCCCAAUCCAAAACCCAUGCAUGCAAUCUCCUUAAAAUUUAAUUCACUACUACUGCUUAAUUAUGACUAAACAUCUAUAGAGAGAGAGAUGAACUCCUGUGCUUGUGACAUCUUAGCCGUCGAAUUGUCUCAAGAUCUGUGCAGCACUAUUAACGAUGUGUCCCGUUAAGUCUACUUUACUAGUACUGUACGAACUUUGAGACAGUUCGUCGGCUAAAAAAUCACAAGCACAGAUGCUCGCUCCUGUGCUUUUAACAUAUUAUUAAGUUGUAACUAUCCAUUGAUCAAAUAAGGGAGCAAAUGGAAAUCACCAAGGCCUUGUAGGAGGAACUGAUCAUCAUCAUCAUCACCAUUUUGAUCCUCCUCAAGAGCUCUCAAGAACCC
rnacentral:lncRNA from 1 species